GACGAACGCUGGCGGCGUGCUUAACACAUGCAAGUCGAACGGAAAGGCCCUGCUUUUGUGGGGUGCUCGAGUGGCGAACGGGUGAGUAACACGUGAGUAACCUGCCCUUGACUUUGGGAUAACUUCAGGAAACUGGGGCUAAUACCGGAUAGGAGCUCCUGCUGCAUGGUGGGGGUUGGAAAGUUUCGGCGGUUGGGGAUGGACUCGCGGCUUAUCAGCUUGUUGGUGGGGUAGUGGCUUACCAAGGCUUUGACGGGUAGCCGGCCUGGGAGGGUGACCGGCCACAUUGGGACUGAGAUACGGCCCAGACUCCUACGGGACGCAGCAGUGGGGAAUAUUGCACAAUGGGCGGAAGCCUGAUGCAGCAACGCCGCGUGCGGGAUGACGGCCUUCGGGUUGUAAACCGCUUUCGCCUGUGACGAAGCGUGAGUGACGGUAAUGGGUAAAGAAGCACCGGCUAACUACGUG
rnacentral:rRNA from 1 species